GAUGAACGCUGGCGGCGUGCCUAAUACAUGCAAGUCGAGCGAACAGACGAGGAGCUUGCUCCUCUGACGUUAGCGGCGGACGGGUGAGUAACACGUGGAUAACCUACCUAUAAGACUGGGAUAACUUCGGGAAACCGGAGCUAAUACCGGAUAAUAUAUUGAACCGCAUGGUUCAAUAGUGAAAGACGGUUUUGCUGUCACUUAUAGAUGGAUCCGCGCCGCAUUAGCUAGUUGGUAAGGUAACGGCUUACCAAGGCAACGAUGCGUAGCCGACCUGAGAGGGUGAUCGGCCACACCGGAAACGAGACACGGGCCAGACUCCUACGGGGGGCAGGAGGAGGGAAUCUUGCGCAAUGGGCGAAAGCCUGACGGAGGCAAGCCGCGUGAGUGAGUAAGGUCUUCGGAUUGUAAAACCCUUUUAUUAGGGAAGAAUAAAUGUGUAAGUAACUAUGCACGUCUUGACGGUACCUAAUCAGAAAGCCACGGCUAACUACGUG
rnacentral:rRNA from 1 species